rnacentral:lncRNA from 1 species
AAUUCAUCAUUUACAUUAAUAAGAACAUUGCAAUACUGUGUCUCUUCUGUAGGAUGACAGUCCCCGGAGCGGUACAGUGUCUCUUGAAACAACUCCUGUAACUGUGCAUAUUGAUCGUCUCGUGGUAGAGAGAAAUGACGAUGGCUCGUUUCAUAUCAGAGAUUCUCAUAUGCUUAACACUGAAAAUCAUUUGAGAGAAAAUGUCGGAAGUGACUCCGAGCUGCUGACCAGUGGAAAGUGUGACCGGAGGAGGCAUGGCGGUGUUGAGCAGGCCACUCAGACGAGCAUAGAGACCCUGGGGCCGGCUCCCUCAGCGCUCCUUCCUGAGUGCACCUCUGACACCACAAGGGAACAGCUCAUGGAAGAGAAUGAGUCUCUCAAGCAGGAACUGGCCAAGGCUAAAAUGGCUCUUGCAGAGUGUCACUUGGAAAAAGAUGCACUUCUUCAUCAAAUAAAGACGAUGACAAGUGACUAACGGGAGUGGGCCUCGGAGCUCCGAUUACAGCUCAGGAGGAGGAGGGCUGUGUUUCUGAUGUUCCUGUUACCAGUGAAUGGAGAUUCUCCUUCCGGGAAAUCAAAAUGCCAUGGGAUGUGGUGACUCCAAAGGUGGCUCCCCAAAGCCAGUUUGGAAGGUGUUAGGUACGAACGUUACAGUCUUCAGUUACUUUGUGUUUGGGGAUUCAACCCUUUUUCAAACUGGUGUUAUCUAGGGAAGUCAGCACAUACUGCAGAGUAACUAUAUGCUUACUGAUAACCAGAUGUCACUUCCUAAUUUUGAUAAUGUCAUUAUAAGAAUCUUUUUAAAGAAAAAAACCUGUUGUGUUCACAUGAAUUACUGAAUUUAUUUCUCAGUAUUUGUUAAUAAUUUACUACUCUUUACAGAAAUUCAAAUGCUUUUAGGGCUCAUGUAAAAUAAAAAGGAAGCUUAGAUUUUAAAUGUUAUUAAAAUUAUGUUCUUAAAUCUAUAAUUACCAUAAAAAGUCCAAUCAAAUUAAUAAAUUUAUGAUUAAUAAGUUUAAGAACUCUGAAAAACCUUCACCCUACUGAACUUAUUAAAGCAACUUGAAAAUGUGAAAAAAGUCAUGCUAGAUGAUGGGUAAACUAUGUAAGUGGGAGCUCUAAUUUCCAAUAAAAAGAUGGUACAAAUGUAAAAAUAAAAAGCACAAAUAUUAGCCUAGUCAAGUGAUUUAAAAAGCAUUACUUGUACAUUCCUUAAACAUUUAUUAUUAAAGUAAAAUUAACUCAUUCUAAAUUUGGCAGCAU